GACCUCGUGGCGCAAUGGGAGCGUGUCGGUUUCCGGAGCCUAAGGUUCCGGGUUCGAGUCUCCUGAGGGGACU
rnacentral:tRNA from 1 species